GGUUGUUAGCUCAGUUGGUAGAGCAGCUGACUCUUAAUCAGCGGGUCGUGGGUUCGAAACC
rnacentral:tRNA from 1 species